UACAGAGGUGCCGAGCGUUAGGCGGAAUCACUGGGCUUAAAGCGCGUGUAGGCGGGUCGCUAAGUGUCCGCGUGAAAUCCCACGGCUCAACCGUGGAACGGCCGGGCAUACUGACGACCUUGAGGUGCUCAGGGGCGAGCGGAACGAACGGUGGAGCGGUGAAAUGCGUAGAUAUCGUUCGGAACGCCGACGGUGAGAACAGCUCGCUGGGAGCAUCCUGACGCUGAGACGCGAAAGCCAGGGGAGCGAACGGG
rnacentral:rRNA from 1 species